GAUGAACGCUAGCGGCAGGCCUAAUACAUGCAAGCCGAACGGCAAGUUUGAUAGCAAUAUUGGACCUAGAGUGGCGCAAGGGUGCGUAACACGUAUGCAACCUGCCCGCGACAGGAGGAUAGCUCCCCGAAAGGGGAAUUAACCCUCCAUAACACCAUGAGAAGGCAUCUGAUUAUGGUUAAACCGCAAGGGUUCGCUGAUGGGCAUGCGGUUGAUUAGCUAGUUGGCGGGGUAAAGGCCCACCAAGGCGGUGAUCCAUAGGGGUUCUGAGAGGAAGGUCCCCGACACUGGCACUGAGAUACGGGCCAGACUCCUACGGGAGGCAGCAGUAGGGAAUAUUGGACAAUGGUUGCAAGACUGAUCCAGCCAUGCAGCGUGCAGGAAGAAGGCCUUCUGGGUCGUAAACUGCUUUGUACUGUGGAUAAAAUACCCGUGAGCGAGGAAUUGAAGGUAACAGGGGAAUAAGCCACGGCUAACUACGUG
rnacentral:rRNA from 1 species